rnacentral:rRNA from 1 species
AAAUUGAAGAGUUUGAUCAUGGCUCAGAUUGAACGCUGGCGGCAGGCCUAACACAUGCAAGUCGAACGGUAACAGGAAUCAGCUUGCUGAUUCGCUGACGAGUGGCGGACGGGUGAGUAAUGUCUGGGAAACUGCCUGAUGGAGGGGGAUAACUACUGGAAACGGUAGCUAAUACCGCAUAAUGUCGCAAGACCAAAGAGGGGGACCUUCGGGCCUCUUGCCAUCGGAUGUGCCCAGAUGGGAUUAGCUUGUUGGUGGGGUAACGGCUCACCAAGGCGACGAUCCCUAGCUGGUCUGAGAGGAUGACCAGCCACACUGGAACUGAGACACGGUCCAGACUCCUACGGGAGGCA